AGUGAACACUGGCGGUAGGCCUAACACAUGCAAGUCGAACGGCAGCACAGGAGAGCUUGCUCUCUGGGUGGCGAGUGGCGGACGGGUGAGGAAUACAUCGGAAUCUACUCUGUCGUGGGGGAUAACGUAGGGAAACUUACGCUAAUACCGCAUACGACCUACGGGUGAAAGCAGGGGACCUUCGGGCCUUGCGCGAUUGAAUGAGCCGAUGUCGGAUUAGCUAGUUGGCGGGGUAAAGGCCCACCAAGGCGACGAUCCGGAGCUGGGCUGAGAGGAUGAUCAGCCACACUGGAACUGAGACACGGUCCAGACUCCUACGGGAGGCAGCAGUGGGGAAUAUUGGACAAUGGGCGCAAGCCUGAUCCAGCCAUACCGCGUGGGUGAAGAAGGCCUUCGGGUUGUAAAGCCCUUUUGUUGGGAAAGAAAUCCAGCUGGCUAAUACCCGGUUGGGAUGACGGUACCCAAAGAAUAAGCACCGGCUAACUUCGUGCCAGCAGCCGCGGUAA
rnacentral:rRNA from 1 species